GACGAACGCUGGCGGCGUGCUUAACACAUGCAAGUCGAACGGAAAGGCCCCCACUUUUUUGGUGGGGGUGCUCGAGUGGCGAACGGGUGAGUAACACGUGGGUGAUCUGCCCUGUACUUCGGGAUAAGCUUGGGAAACUGGGUCUAAUACCGGAUAGGACCAUGGUUUAGUGUCUCAUGGUGGAAAAAUUAUUGUUUUGGUGCAGGAUGAGCUCGCGGCCUAUCAGCUUGUUGGUGGGGUAAUGGCCUACCAAGGCGUCGACGGGUAGCCGGCCUGAGAGGGUGGACGGCCACAUUGGGACUGAGAUACGGCCCAGACUCCUACGGGAGGCAGCAGUGGGGAAGAUUGCACAAUGGGCGCAAGCCUGAUGCAGCGACGCCGCGUGGGGGAUGACGGCCUUCGGGUGGUAAACUCCUUUCGUUAGGGACGAAGCCGCACCUUUUUGGGGUGUGGUGACGGUACCUUUGUUAAGAAGCACCGGCUAACUACGUG
rnacentral:rRNA from 1 species